GCACUUGCUUUAGCAGUACAUAUACUAAAAUUGGAAUGAUACAGAGAACAUUAGCAUAGCCCCUGCACAAGAAGCUAAUGUAUAUCCUACAAAAUUAAAAGGAUGAG
ensembl:snRNA U6 U6 spliceosomal RNA